ensembl:lncRNA
GCGACAUAUAGAUAGGACUGCUAAUCUUACAAGCAUUCUCAAGAUCGAUUGUCGGCAGUAGUUCUAUUCAUUCUAUCGCUGUAACUUUUCUCUCGUGUUGCUAUGGACAAGUUGUUUGACCUGGAUCUCCGUGACCCCCGCACAGAAGGAAGACACCUUGCCGUUGGGUUGAUGCAUGACCAAUUCCUUGCAGAAGCCAUGGAGGCUGCGGAGAAUGUCAAUCGGGCAAGAUCUGGAGGGGAUUCACCACGGAGCUCAACCAAACGGAGCGGACGCGGCAAGGCCAGAGGGAGACGUGGAGGCCGUGCGGGCCAUACAGGCCGUGCAGACCGAUGGAGUGGCCUAACUACAGGUUGGGUAUGGGAUUUGCGAAACGCCAGCAGAUUUUGAAAAUACACAACUCAAAUGGUCCUACCCCCUCUCCUUCAACGCUGACUCUACCCAUUCCAAGUACAAGUACAUGGGAGCGGGG